CCUGAGAUUUUGUUUCUUAAUUAAGCAGGCUCUUUCCAAAGAUUUACUUUAAUCUUAUUUUCUAAACAAACAAGCAAAAAAAAAAAAAAAAAAUCCCCUAAAAAACAAUAUAAUCAACUGGUACAACAUGGUGGUAACUGCAGAAGAGCGAGCUAGGAGUUUGAAAUAGUUGUCUCUGUGCAUGGGCUAGAGUGAGGAGGGCCUGGCGGAAAACUGCUGCUUUUCUACUGGGACUCUCCCUCAUGGUUCUGCCUGAAAGCUACCCUGGUAGUACAUCCUGGACCUGACCACUUUCUUACUACCCUCGCUUCUAUCAGUCUGAUCAAGACCUCCCUCAUCUCUGGGCUUCCCUGGUGGUUCAGAUGGUAAAGAAUCCGCGUGCACUGCAGGAGACCUGGGUUCAAUCCCUGGAUUGGGAAAAUUCCCUGGAGAAGGGAAUUACUCCAAUAUUCUUGCCGGGAGAAUCCCAUGGAGGGAGGAGCCUGGUAGGCUACAGUCCAUGGGGUCGCAAAGAGUCGGACAUGACUGAGCAAGGGAGGAAGAGCAAGCAAGGGGCUGAACGGGAAUCCCUAAACUCUCCUUUCUCAGUGGUUCCUGAGAACCCAGUUCAGUCCAAGGCUAUCAACCAAAGUGAAUCCACAUUUAUCCAGGGAGCAGGUGCAUGCUGAGGGCAGAAUUCUUACAGACACACAUCCCACGUGUCAAAGACAAAUCUAAGUUUAAGACAAAAUUAAUAAAGCCUGUUUAUUUAGAAACUUGCUGCAAGCGAACUCCCGCCAUCAUCUUUGCUUCCGCAGGGGUUCAAAAGUGUCAGGGGUACAAUUUAUUGCGUAAAAAUGAGAUCUGUUGUUUAGUUGCUCAGUCGUGUUCAACUCUUUGCCACCCUACGGACUGCAGCACACCAGGCUUCCCUAUCCCUCACUAUCUCCCGGAGUUUGCUCAAACUCAUGUGCAGAGUCAUUGAUGCCAUCCAACCAUCUCCAGGCUCUGUUGCCCCCUUCUCUUCCUGCCCUCAAUCUUUCCCAGCAUCAGAGUCUUUUCCAAUGAGUUGGCUCUUAGCAUCAGGUGGCCAAAGUAUUGGAGCUUCAGCUUUAGCAUCAGUCCUUCCAAUGAAUAUUCACAGUUGAUGUCCUUUAGGAUUGACUGAUUUGAUCUCCUUGCUGUCCAAGGAACUCUCAGCACCAGCUGGAAAGCAUCAGUUCUUUGGUGAUCAGCCUUCUUCAUGGUCCAACUUUCACAUCCGUACACGACUACUGGAAAAACCACAGCUGACCUUUGUCUGAUCUUUAUACUUACACAAAGAUCUUUAUACUGAUCUUUGUUGGUUAAGACCUCUUUUAUGGCAACGGGAUCAUACUUAUUAGUAAUUACCUUAAACGUAAAUGGGUUGAAUGCCCCAACCAAAAGACAAAGACUGGCUGAAUGGAUACAAAAACAAGACCCCUACAUAUGUUGUCUACAAGAGACCCACCUCAAAACAGGGGACACAUACAGACUGAAA
ensembl:lncRNA